UACGUAGGGUCCGAGCGUUGUCCGGAGUUACUGGGCGUAAAGGGCGCGUAGGCGGUUAUCUGCGUCACACGUGAAAGCCCCUGGCUCAACCAGGGAGGGUCGUGUGAAACGGGGUAACUGGAGGCAGAGAGAGGCUGGUGGAAUUCCCGGAGUAGUGGUGAAAUGCGUAGAGAUCGGGAGGAACACCGGUGGCGAAGGCGGCCAGCUGGCUCUGACCUGACGCUGAGGCGCGAAGGCGUGGGGAGCGAACGGG
rnacentral:rRNA from 1 species